GAGGAAAAGAAACCAACCGGGAUUGCCUCAGUAACGGCGAGUGAAGCGGCAAGAGCUCAAAUUUGAAAGCUGGCUCCUUCGGGGUCCGCAUUGUAAUUUGCAGAGGAUGCUUCGGGUGCGGCCCCUGUCUAAGUGCCCUGGAACGGGCCGUCAGAGAGGGUGAGAAUCCCGUCUGGGAUGGGGUGUCCGCGCCCGUGUGAAGCUCCUUCGACGAGUCGAGUUGUUUGGGAAUGCAGCUCUAAAUGGGUGGUAAAUUUCAUCUAAAGCUAAAUACUGGCCGGAGACCGAUAGCGCACAAGUAGAGUGAUCGAAAGAUGAAAAGCACUUUGAAAAGAGAGUUAAAAAGCACGUGAAAUUGUUGAAAGGGAAGCGCUUGCGACCAGACUCGCCUCCAGGGUUCAGCCGGCAUUCGUGCCGGUGUACUUCCCUGGGGGCGGGCCAGCGUCGGUUUGGGCGGCCGGUCAAAGGCUCCCGGAAUGUAGUGCCCUCCGGGGCACCUUAUAGCCGGGAGUGCAAUGCGGCCAGCCUGGACCGAGGAACGCGCUUCGGCACGGACGCUGGCAUAAUGGUCGUAAACGACCCGUCUU
rnacentral:rRNA from 1 species